rnacentral:rRNA from 1 species
GAUGUGAAAGCCUUCGGCUUAACCGGAGAAGUGCAUCGGAAACUGGAUAACUUGAGUGCAGAAGAGGGUAGUGGAACUCCAUGUGUAGCGGUGGAAUGCGUAGAUAUAUGGAAGAACACCAGUGGCGAAGGCGGCUACCUGGUCUGCAACUGACGCUGAGACUCGAAAGCAUGGGUAGCGAACAGGAUUAGAUAC